rnacentral:rRNA from 1 species
GAAGUUGACGGGACCCGCACAAGCGGUGGAUGAUGUGGAUUAAUUCGAUGCAACGCGAAGAACCUUACUACCCUUGACAUGUCCGGAACUUGCCAGAGAUGGCUUGGUGCCCGAAAGGGAAUCGGAACACAGGUGCUGCAUGGCUGUCGUCAGCUCGUGUCGUGAGAUGUUGGGUUAAGUCCCGCAACGAGCGCAACCCUUAUCAUUAGUUGCUACGCAAGGGCACUCUAAUGAGACUGCCGGUGACAAACCGGAGGAAGUGGGGAUGACGUCAAGUCCGCAUGCUCCUUACGUCUAGGGCUACACACGUCCUACAAUGGGGUCGACAGUGGGAUGCAAAGCCGCGAGGUGGAGCCAAUCCCCAAACGGCCUCUCAGUUCGGAUAGUAGUCUGCAACUCGACUACUUGAAGUCGGAAUCGCUAGUAAUGGCGGAUCAGCAUGCCGCCGUGAAUACGUUCCCGGGUCUU